CUCAUGAAUAUGCAAACAACCUGAGGUCUUCUGAGAUAAAUAUAGAUGUGUUGGUUCCCUGCAAGCCUCACCCAACAACCACAUCCCUCCUCUAAAGAAGCCCCAGUGGGCAGAGCUCAUCACCAUGGACUGGACCUGGAGGAUCCUCUUUUUGGUGGCAGCAGCUACAGGUGCCCACUCCCAAGUCCAGCUGGUGCAGUCUGGGGCUGAGGUGAAGAAGCCUGGGUCCUUAGUGAAGGUCUCCUGCAAGGCUUCCGGAUACACCUUCGCCAGCUAUGGCAUGCAGUGGGUGCGACAGGCCCCUGGACAAGGGCUCGAGUGGAUGGGAUGGAUCAACACCAACACUGGUGCCACAGGUUAUGCACAGAAGUUUCAGGGCAGAGUCACCAUGACCAGGGACAUGUCCACAAGCACAACCUACAUGGAGCUGGGCAGCCUGAGAUCUGGACACGGGACCAUGUAUUACUGUACGAGAGACACAGUGUGAAAACUACAUCCUGAGAGUGUCAGAAACCCUGAGGGAGGAGGCAGCUGUGCUGGGCUGAGGAGAUAAAAGUGGUUAUUAAGUUCAAGGCUGUUUACAAAAUGGGUUAUAUAUUUGAGAAUAAAGAACAAUAGAAACAAGUACAUACUCUAAUUGUAAGAGAAAUAUUCCAUUCAAUAAUCAUCAUAUAAACCAAAUUCACAGAGUGGGAAAGGCCACACUCAAUACAGUUGAUGCAAACAU